rnacentral:lncRNA from 1 species
UUGGCGAGCAGCGGGGAGCCCGGUACCGGCCUCGCGUGGGAGUCGCGUCUGUUCUCUCUCUGCCUAGGAACCGCCCUGCCCCCGCGGUGCAGCCCCUCAGGCGGGUUCUUCCUUCAGCGUGCUGUAAAUCCGUAAAACGCUGCAGCCCUUUCCCCGGACGUCUCCUGACCUGUAGUAGUAGCACCGCUGCCUGCCCCAGCAAGACAAGCCACGGGUUUUCUCCCGUUCACCGCUGAAGGACCUAUCUGCAAGGACUCUUGUGAUUUGAAUGAGGAGGAAUGUAUGUAGCAACAACUACUGAGUAUCCACUGUGGGCCCAGCUGCUCGCCUGCUCACCUGUCAUGUCAUUGGGUGUCAAUGGGAUUCAAGUUGCCAACUGUUGAAUUCACAUCCAAGUGAAAGGAGAGAUGAAGUGAGCAGACGAAGCCUUCUUAAAUACAGCUGCUUACAUAUUUCCCGGACUGAGCUCCAGGGUAGCAGUCUGUCGCAUGAACUGGUCUGUUGUAUUACGUUCCCCCAGCAGAGACUGUAAUGUAUGAGGAAAGUUCCGCUGAGUCCUUUGGAGACUUGACUCCCUCUAUCUCCUUUCCCGUUUCUCUCCACCUUACUCGUCUCACCUUCAUGAGCACCUUAUGUCAUGGUAACGAUCCCUGCGGGGAAGGCGAGUUGGACUCUGCUCCCUCUGGGGCCACCGGAGCUAUUGGAAAAGCUUGCUGCCAGCUGCGAGUCGCUCCUUCAGCCCUCGAGGCACGUUACCUAGAAAAUCUGAGAAUGGAUUGA